CCAGACUCCUACGGGAGGCAGCAGUGGGGAAUAUUGCACAAUGGGCGCAAGCCUGAUGCAGCCAUGCCGCGUGUGUGAAGAAGGCCUUCGGGUUGUAAAGCACUUUCAGCGGGGAGGAAGGCAAUAAGGUUAAUAACCUUGUUGAUUGACGUUACCCGCAGAAGAAGCACCGGCUAACUCCGUGCCAGCAGCCGCGGUAAUACGGAGGGUGCAAGCGUUAAUCGGAAUUACUGGGCGUAAAGCGCACGCAGGCGGUCUGUCGAGUCGGAUGUGAAAUCCCCGGGCUCAACCUGGGAACUGCAUUCGAAACUGGCAGGCUAGAGUCUUGUAGAGGGGGGUAGAAUUCCAGGUGUAGCGGUGAAAUGCGUAGAGAUCUGGAGGAAUACCGGUGGCGAAGGCGGCCCCCUGGACAAAGACUGACGCUCAGGUGCGAAAGCGUGGGGAGCAAACAGGAUUAGAUACCCCUGUAC
rnacentral:rRNA from 1 species